CGCUGGCGGCGUGCCUAACACAUGCAAGUCAACUUGACUGAAGGAGCAAUCUGACAGUGGAGUGGCGCAAGGGUGCGUAACGCGUAAGUAACUUGCCCAAGGUAAGGAAUAACGUCGAGAAAUCGGCGCUAAUACCUCAUAAUGCAGCGGAUCCGCAUGGAUAUGUUGUUAAAGGUUUACCGCCUUGGGAUAGGCUUGCGUCUGAUUAGCUAGUUGGUGUGGUAACGGCACACCAAGGCUACGAUCAGUAACUGGUCUGAGAGGAUGAUCAGUCACACUGGAACUGAGACACGGUCCAGACUCCUACGGGAGGCAGCAGUGAGGAAUAUUGGGCAAUGCUCGAAAGAGUGACCCAGCAACGCCGCGUGGAGGAUGAAGGUAUUCUAUAUCGUAAACUCCUGUGAGAGCAGACGAAAGACAGAUUAUUAAUCUGGAUGACUGUAUGCUCAGAGGAAGCCCCGGCUAACUACGUG
rnacentral:rRNA from 1 species